rnacentral:lncRNA from 1 species
AUUAUUGAGCGUCCAUCUUUAGUAUUCCUAUCAAAGAGUGUAGAGCUCAAAACAAGCAAACAACACCUAAAAGUACGGCCAAGGCGGAUGUACGGUACAGCAGCUAAAAAAAUGAAAAUAUAAAAUAAAAAAAUAAUUUCCUUCUUCUAAGUAAAAAUGGAAGGGUUACGCUUUUGACUAUGAAGGAUCUAAGAAGUUAGUGUUUACUUUAAAAGAACCACCCAGCAGUUCAUGUUUAGUAAAGAACAGUUCCAUAAAGAUCUCUACUGAAACUACAGCCAGAAGCAGCAACUUUGAGGUCAAAGGUUACUUCCCAGAUAAAGACUGCAUCAUUGUUGAUCCCAAUGGCAACAUUGUAGCUCAGGUAUACAAUCAACUCCAUGAUCUAAAAGCUGUAGACAUUGCUUUAUUUUUAUUUAUUUAAAAAGAAAGCAAAAGUAUGCUAAAGCUGCAGUGUUCGUUUUGCUUUUGAUCACUUAGUGAUGAUUCCGUUUAAAUAUGACAGAUUGGAGUGAAAAAAGAAAUAGAAGACUUGAUGGAAAGCAAGGAUCUGUAUCACAUAGUGGUGAAACAGAGGAUAGAUCAGGCCUUUAUUGCUGGAGUCAUUGCCACCCUCGACUACAUUUAUGGCGAAUCUACUAGGUGCUGAUCAAUCAGAAUUUUUACCAACUAAUGCCAUUGAAACUACGCAAAAUCAUGGGAACAUUGCAUCCCCUUCUAAAUAUCUUUCUUCAAUUUCAUGCUUGAAUUACAGCACAUCAAUCAUAUCGGGAUUGAGGGUUUUUUUGUCAAUUUCAUGCUUCUAAGCCAUUAAUCAUCUCUUCAACAUCAAUUUUUCAUCAUCUAAAUAUUUUUUUUCACUCUAAAUUACCAAACUUCUAAUUGUUUCAAAUCUCUAAUUAUUUCACACAAAAUUUACAAUACAUCAAAAAAACCCACAAAGGUCAAAAUUACCUCCUCACCUUGCUGUUAACUCACAAAAUGAAAAGGAAAGAGAGGAAACUGUGUUCAUCUUCAACACCUCAGGAUGACAGCGACCGCUUCAUGGAUUCCACUUGUUAUUUGCUUUGAACGAGAUGAUGCCUUCGAUCUUGCGUGAUUACUAAACAAAUAGAAG